ACACGGGGGUUGCGAGCGUUGUCCGGAAUUACUAGGCGUAAAGUGCAGGUAGGCGGAUAAGUAAGUUUAAGGUUAAAGGCUACGGCUUACCCGUAGUAAGGCGUUAGAUACUGUUUAUCUGGAAUGCGGUUGAGGGAGACAGAAUUCCUGGUGUAGCGGUGGAAUGCGCAGAGAUCAGGAGGAAUACCGAAGGCGAAGGCAGUCUUCUAAGCCGAUAUUGACGCUAAACUGCGAAGGUGUGGGGAUCAAACAGGAUUGGAUACCCUGGUAGUCCACACAGUAAACGAUAAUCACUAGGUGUUGGGUUCUUAAGAGGAUUCAGUGCCGGAGCUAACGCGAUAAGUGAUUCGCCUGGGGAGUACGAUCGCAAGGUUGAAACUCAAAGGAAUUGACGGGG
rnacentral:rRNA from 1 species